rfam:Tenacibaculum soleae strain TCD-KL19 scaffold_0, whole genome shotgun sequence.
UACAUUUGCUGAUUCAAUGCAAAAGCAUUGUGUACAUUAAAAUCAUUUAAACAAUAUUGGUAUG